AUUUGGUAAAAAAAAAAGGAGAAAAACAAGAGAAGAAAAUUACUUUUAUGUUCUUCCUGCUGGGAUUGCAUGGGACCAGCACCAGAGAGGUCACCACAUUUUAAUAUGUGACUCACAGCUUUCUAGGGGCACAGCUUCAUUGCUGCAGCUCAGCCCCAUCUCUGAAGAUCCCAGGUUGAGUUUCCAAAAUUUUUUUUGUGACAGUGUUUUGUGACAACUUUUGUUGCUGUCUCCUGGUUCGGUACAGAGCCAGCCUUUGGAUUGCUCUGACUCAACAGAGCAGCCAAAAGGCUCCCAGAGGAAGCCAACGCUUUUAUGGAGGAGGAGAUUAUCCACUUUUUAAUGACAUUAAAAUAAUAGACAAAAAGCUUUGGGAGCACUGUUAUCUGAUCUGUUUCUCCACAUCGGCCACAGCUGUGGUUAGGGGUUGCUAAGCCCUGUGUGCUGUACAUGUCCUGUGCUGCCUGGAUUAGGGGGAUGCUCUUCCCACAAUCAAGCUGUUUCAAAGUUUUAGGGAUUUCUGCACCUUUCCCUGGGCAAUGCAAUACCAGCUUCACUUUGGGGAUAACAAAGGCUGGAGGGACUUUGGCCAUGAGCCAGGCUAUUGGCUAGUAGAUCCCAGGUAGUCCUUGAGGAGACAUACUGAGCACUGAAUGUUCACCAUCCCCAAGCCAAAACCUCCCAUAUCUGAGCAGGUUUUCAGAUCCUCCUCUGGAAAACCAAGGGAAUUUACCCAGUUGGCAGAUGGGAGAUUGCUGCUGUCAAGCCACAGUUUUCUUGUAUUCAGCACUUACGGCUGAGCCAAGUUGCAGGGAAGUUGUGGCAGGUGGAGGAGUGCCAAGGGGCUGCAGCUUUUGAUGGCUGUGGUAGUUCUUGCAGCCUCUUGGAGAUGUAAAUCAGGAGAGCUUAAAACCAGUGGAGGCUGUCUGUAUGUUCACCUAAAUGUCUGACAUGAGGAUUGAGCCCUGAAUCUGUAUUUCUGCUGCAGUGAUGGCUUGGGCCAGGCUGAAGGAGGUUUGGCUGUUGAAAUCACGCCUUAUUCCAUAUAGAAACCUGCAUCUUCUUCCUGUUGUUUCAAGCCCUUCAUUAGGGCAUUGCUAUCCUGUUGCCCCUCCCCUCUCCCAUCCCAGGAUCCUGAGUUCUCCAAGAGCAGUCACAUCCUUCUAGUUUCACAUUAAACUUCUUCAGUUAAAUGAUUCCUUUCCUGAAAAAGUAAACAAACAAACAAACAACAACAAAAAAAAAACAAAAAAGAAGAAAGAAAAUAAAUUUCCUUAAAUUUCUUCAAAUUGCAUAAAACGUUUGGACAUAUGAGAGACUGGGACAUGCAGCGAGUGGUUGCUGGGCCUGACUUGAAGACUCCAGAAGAGUCUUAUUCUGGAAAAAGCCCAUCGGUUCUUUCUUAUGUGUGGCAUCCUAGACAAGCUUUUCACUCAGCCUUAAUCAGCAAAGCCACAAGCAUUUUGUUCAUCCUAUGGGGCUGUGCAUAGGGAACACACAGAUCUUCCUGGGGUGCAGUUCCUGUGUGCUCUUCUUGUAUAACCUUGGAUGGUUCCUGCCACGUGAUGAAGUAAUGAUUGUAGUCAUUGGUAUUUUUACCUUCUUGCCCAAAUAACUCCAGGACUCCCUGGAGGAGCUUCCCUACUGCUGUAGGAACCUGCUUAGGGAGCACACAGGGGUGCUGAGACAUGUGGAGUAGAAAAGAUACCUUUGUACAAUCAGGGUGAUGCUCUGAGAGGUCAUAGGAGGUGAACGGGGCAAUUUUUAAAACAAAUGGGUUUGAAAUGGGGUUUGUUGCAUGUCACAAACACUGGCCCUAUGUCCUGCUUUGUAGUCCCAAAUGGGAUCAGUGUACCAUCCUAGAACUGCUCUGCAUUUCUGUGAGCCUACAGAGGGCAAAAUCUCUUCCACUGUGAUGUAAGAACUGUCUCCCAUGCCAGGAACAUGGAUUCCUGGAGCCACUGGUAGCCACUGGGCCAAUCAAAAAGCCAUCUUAAUGCCCCUCCCACAGCACCCCAAAACACAUCAGGUUUUACAGCUGAAUGCAAAGUGGGGUUUUCUCAGCCAGGGAUGGGGUUCAGGGAUUGGUUCUGAAACAGCAGCACUGGAUUGAUGCAGUGAUGUUCAGCUUUCCCUGCGCUGCUUGGAAAUGCAUUGGAAAUCCAAGGGGGUCGUUAAAUCACGGAAGCAAUUUACUGUAGGUCUUUUCCACACAGCUCUGAGAUGGCCAGUGGUAAAUACAAGAAUAUCAAUAUUGCAGAGUGGCCACAGGUUUGGAAGUCAGUGACACAGCAAGUGUGAGGCAUUUUAAUGCUGUGGAGGAGAGGAGGGAGAGAUGAGGUGCCAAAGGUUUGCAGGCAGCAACAUGUUGGAGCCUCAUCAGCUCCUGAGGCAAAUCACAGUGUUCAGAGGGUUUCAAAACUCUGUGCCAUCAUGGAGAGGGUGGCAUCUCUGCAGAGUCCUGGGAGCACAAGUGUCCUAGCCUGUACAACAGCACCCUGGUGAACCUGGUACUACCUCUUUCCUCUUUGUUUUAGGAAAGCAUCUCUGUGGCACCUUACUUUUGGUAAAUUAAGGCAGCAGCAACUCCUGAGAGUGGAAAGCCUGGCUCUAGGCAUCCAACAAGUCCAUGCACUGCUGUCAUAGUUCCUUUGGAGAUGUCUCGCUGUGGCCAGCAGGCAGCCUGCCCACAGCAGGGCAAUGAGGUUCUUCCAGCAGCUCUGCCUUUAAGCAAGAGCUAAGGUCUGGGAGGAUGCAGGGUGGUGGGAAUAUCUGAACUCCCUCUGCUGAGGUAAAAAAUGCUGGGUGAAUUCCCAGAGCACUGUGUGAGUAACAAAAAGCCAUGCAAAGGGUUUUAAUCUCACCUGAACAUCCACGUUCAUUCCUGAUGAAUUUAGGGGCGGGAGCAGUAGCUCCUUGACGGCCAUGAGUGAAUGUGCUGGGUUCUCUUUAGCCCCUUGCCACAAGCUGGGUCUUGUACUGGCUGUUAACCCCCAAUGUUAUCCAUUCUUCACAUCCAGCACUGCGAGGACAGCCAUGGCCUGGGAUAAUUCAACAUUCUCUUUCCCUAAUAAAGCAAGAGCUUUCCCUUGUCUUUCUGUAGCUGGGCAGAAGAGCUGAAAUGGGGAUUUGUCCCAGGUGGAUGCAGCUUCACACAACUGUCUGACACAUUGACAUCCAUCAGCCCAUCAGAAACAGGCACAGGAGUAUGCCAGGCAGACCUCAGCAAUUGUGAAUCUCUUCUCCUGAUGGAAGUCAAUAUAGGAUGAGGCAUGAGCUGGGGAAACAGGUCUCUGGCUGGCCAGUGGGAGCCCAGCCCUGCUAAAACUGAGACUGGGCUUAUUCACCUUUCAACCUUCCUGCCCCAUCAUCCUCUUGGCAUGUCCUGCCUGAUAAUAAAUUCAGGGGUGUUAAGUGAAACAGCUGUGGAUUUGCAAAGAAGCUGAAUUCAGGUGUUUUCCAGGAAAAGCACUGCCCAUGAACAAGUCUGGGUUUGCAAGGUCACUGCUUGGAGGGAUAGAGGCAUUUGGUUUGCACCGUCAUCUCCAGGCCUCCCUUGGGAAGCCCAGUAUCCCUCCCUCCCUGAAAUCCUUUCCAAGCUGGGAUGUGAAAAUAAGUGAAACCUGUUUAGUUGUUACAGGCAGGAUUUAAUCACCUUAAAUUAUUCUAAGUGGAUGGGGAAGCAUCCUGUGAUCUCCAAGCCAAGCAGGUCACCUUUAAUUUCCUUUUCCUUCCAUCAGUAAUGCUUGUGGAUGGGUGUUUGAUUUAUUAAGCGCUGAAUAACAGGGCUUUCGUGUGUAUUGCUGUCAGAGAGAUAAAUAGGCCCCUUUGAAGGCGAGUUUCAGGGAGGUGGCUGUGGCUUUUGGAAUAUAUAUAUCCAUAAAGCACUGCAGACUGCCCCCUCCUUGGACAUCCGUGAUCUUUCAGACCGUGCACGGCUCUCCCCCAUCCACCCUGGGCCCUGUAACGUGCUCGGAGUGAUGAUCUCCACCGUGCCCUGCUGGGAGGAUGAUUAAUGCUUGCAAAGUGAUUUGAGAACAUCAGAUUAGUAGGACAGAGCCUCAUUAUUAUAUUAGCAAUCACCGGAUCCUUGGCCUUUUUCACUCUCAGCGCACUUAGAGCCGCAUCUAAAAGCCAAGUGCUGUUUACUAGCAAACCUCUCUGCGUUUGGAUACUUUGGGGAGGGCGUUUUGUGUUGUUCACAGGUUUAUUUUUACUGAUGCACCUGCGGUCCAGACUCUUCCAGGGUCCCCACAAACCACUACCCUGCUUUUCAGGCAAACACUGUGAAGAUUAAAAAUAAAGACCACUGGGUGCUCACUGUUAUAACUAUAGAAACCAAAUAUUUGCUUCAACUAUAAAAGGCAGGAGUGUUUAUGAGUAUGAGGCAAAAAGGCAUUUCCAGCCGAACUGGAAUGUAUUUUAGUUCUGCAGACUAUUUAUAGAUAGGCAGCCACUCUAAAUUUGAAUCUUCCCUUCCGUAAGCAAUUUUUUUUUUGUGCCUACUGGGAUAUAUCCUUGUCUGGGGUUUAGCAACGUCACUCCAGGCUGUCCAAACAAUUUGGAGUCACCUUAUGAGACAUGGUGACUUGUUUUGGGGGGUUUCUCUGGCAGGUCUGUGAAGCCACAGAAGGUAGCUUGAAAGAUGAAUAAGUAUUUCCUUUGACUGUAAAUGAAAUAUUUUGAUUUGGAGAAAUUGUGUUAACCCUUCCAGUGUGAAAGUCAGUGUGAACUUAAAAAUCCAAACAUAGUUAUGAAAUGCUAAAAUUAAUUGUUUCAGGAGCUUGGAAGGGAAAUUAAAUAAUGUUUUUGUCCAACCAAACAAAUAAAAAUUGCAGAAUUAUUAUGAAUUAGCAAAA